rnacentral:lncRNA from 1 species
AGCAUCUCUCUCCAGAACCUCUUCUUGGGGACCCCUCUCUGAAGCCUCUUCUUGGGAGCAGCUUUCUGGAGGAAAACGGGCAGCAUAGUUGUGCUGUUGCUGAUGGAUGGAGAUGUGGAAAUGCUUCAUGCAGGGAUCCAGGGGGUCUGCUCGCACCGUGAUGGUGACCGGCUUCCGAAUACCCAGAGACUGCCUCUUCUCUACUGUCACAACAUCAAUUUCUUCAUUCUCUGUCCGAGAAAAGAGAUCAAGAGAAGAAACACAUCCCAUGAGAAACACAAACAUAGACCCUACAGCUUUAGCUGUCUACGCUGGUGCUUGGGAAGGUCGCCUGCCCCACCUCCUUCCCUGGACUAGAAGGUUAGAUUUGUAAUCAUAGGUCGGCGAAGCUGCAGGAACUUCACAAAGGUACAAGCGACCAUUUCCAAACUACCUGCACCAGAGGCAGAGACUGGGCAGCAGAAUGUCCCAGAUAUGGGGCUCAUAACACCAGAGACCUGGAGACACCUGGACACGCCCUUCUCAUUCACUGGCUUGAAGGUCUCUUAGGUUAACCUAACCAGGAGAGGGGCAAUUGGGAGAAAAGUCUCCUCCUGCUCCACACAUUUUGCAGCCUCCACACAGAAGUCCACCUUAAUGGAUCUCGGCCUCGCAAAGGAAGAGCUCCGUUCUCAGCUUCUUUGCAUAUCAGGAAGCUUGAGCCCCUUUGUCAGGAAGGCUUCCAUUGUGUGGACAAUCGCAUUAUUUCUCCAUUAAUAAACCUGACCAUUCAGCCCUCCUGGCCCCAAA